GGCUCCAUAACUCAGAGGUUAGAGCACUGGUCUUGUAAACCAUGGGUCGCGAGUUCAAUUCUCGCUGGGGCCU
rnacentral:tRNA from 1 species